rnacentral:lncRNA from 1 species
UUUUUUUUUUUUUUUUUCCCCUUCACCGGAGGCCACUAGAUUUUUCCAGACAAUAUUUGGAAGGCUGAAAUCACAAAUCACAGACAAAAAUCACAGACAAAAAUAGAUCUUGGCAUUUUACAUAUUCAUUCUGACCCGAUCAAGAGAGAUGGGUGAACACAGUGAUGUUUAUUUGUCUGCUCUAUGGAAUUCAGAAGAAUUUUGAAGCCGUUGCUUUUGAAUGUUGGCGAGUAAGAACAGUAUUUAUAUUGGACAGCUUUAUUCUCUUUCUACUGUUUCUGGACAAGCAGUGUGGACCCAGUAAACACUCCUGAAUUUCAGCCUGACUCUGAGGCUCAGUUUGACACGGGAAUUAAAGAUGGCCUCUCAUUGCCUCAGUAGGAGGAUGAAUUAACUGAACUUUACAAAUUACCAGGAAGGAAAGUAUUAUUUGCCAGGGACUCCACAGUCUUCUCUUCUUGCAUGGCCUGCGUUACAUGCGUGGGCAUCUCCACCCACGCCUUCCUGUCUGGGCUGAAAGGUGACGAGUGGGGAGAGCACCUCAUGAAAGCUUCCUUGGAGGUACCAGAAUCUUCUGUCACCUGUGGUUCUUUGAAGCACAGAGUCCUGGCUUCCUGUUUAUGUCACUGUGCCUGGAAGGAGAGAGCUAAUGGGGCUACUAGUGGUUCUUAGGGUAGGCGGAGAAAUUUCCUGUGACUUCCUGUAACUUCUUCUGUCAAGGGACUGCCUCCUAGCCCACAGCCUGCUGAUGUCUCAUUAUGGUUCAAAGAAGAGGUCAAAGACAACGGGCCCUGCUUGGCUACCACCAGAUCUGUGCUCAAAGGCCGUACCAUGUGAGCCCGAGGCUUCGCUUUAAAUUUAAAUUCCCUUCCUUAAAAUGCCCUAGUUCUGUCUGCGUUGGUGUUCCUGUUAGAGAGAUGGACUCCAUUCGACAGCCAGCAGUGUAUGGAUUCCCGUGGGUUCCAGCGAUGGUCUACAAGUGGGUCCGUGGAGAGAGCCACGGAUAAAUAGGCCCAAGAUUGGAAUAGGAGCUUUUCAGGCACAUGCGCACCUAUGUACACAGGAGAUACACAGGCACACAAAUGCACAUGAACACACAAACACACACAGACACACAUACACAUAAUUUUUUUUUUUUUUUAUUGUAUCUAGGAGCACACAUGUCAAAGCCUCCCUAGGGUUAUACACCCAGGAAACAUACAAAAAUGUUCCCAGCAGUGCUUUUUGAUAUAGGAAAACAACCGGAAACGAGGCAAAUGGCCUUUGGUAGGAAAGCAAAUAACCAAAGUGUGACACAUUUCACCUACUAU